AGUAAUGUAUGGGGAUCUGCCUGAUGGCGGGGGAUAACUACUGGAAACGGUAGCUAAUACCGCAUAAUGUCUACGGACCAAAGCGGGGACCUUCGGGCCUCGCGCCAUCAGAUGAACCCAUAUGGGAUUAGCUUGUAGGUGAGGUAACGGCUCACCUAGGCGACGAUCCCUAGCUGGUCUGAGAGGAUGAUCAGCCACACUGGGACUGAGACACGGCCCAG
rnacentral:rRNA from 1 species